AGCUUUGCGCAGUGGAAGUAUCAUGGCCAAUGAGGUUUAUCUGAGGCUUGAUUAUUGCUAAUUGAAAACAAAGUCCAGCCUAAGUUCAAUUUGGAAACUUAGAAGCUGAACACAGAAGCCAUAUUUUAUAAUACAUAUGUA